rnacentral:ncRNA from 1 species
ACAGUACAAACUGAGCAGGCAAUACCCCAUCUGGUAUGUAGCCGGGUCGUGAAAACGACAGCAGAGAAAAGCGUCAGCACAUCUGCGGGACAGUA